ensembl:lncRNA
CCCGCGACACGUUGGCUCCGUUAUUUCUCCGUUCAGGCGCCGAUUCGGCGGCGUCCUUCUCCAUCUGCACGGUGCCGCUUUUCUGCACAAGCAUACUUGCAUUUAUCAAUAACGUUCUCAAAUUGAAGUGUGUUUUAUAUAACAUCUCAUUAUCUUCAUUAACUUGCGUCCAGCAGAUAAAGUGAGUCACAGUGAAAGGACCCCCUGAACCAAAUAUACUCACCUGAAAGGUCAAUUGUCUGCCUCCAUUCACGCUCUUUAAUUAAGGCUCAAUAAAUCCAAGCCGGGCCGUCACCCAGGGGCCCCCGGCCUCAGCGCUUCGCAGAUCCAGCUCGAUUUUAAAUGCAGAGAUAAGAGACGCUGAAUACAGAGCGAAUGAAAGGAAGGUUUAUUAAUAUUCUUUUAUAUCACAGACAGUCGUGUGAAGCAACAAAGACGGAGCCCAUGAAACGCCUGAAGCCAUUUCAUCAAAGACAUUGAAAGGCUGCUCCUCCACUCUCCACCUCAGCCAUUCUGCAGAUGUUAUAAUGAACCCAAAGGUGUUAUCAUUUCACGUGGUGAGGUGCAGGUUACUCACAGACAGUAUGAAAGUAUAAAGUGUACGACGUAAGAGGAGCAUGGGAUUAUGGGAACAACAUUCAUCAUUAUGUCAAACAGUGAAUGCGAGACAUGUAGGACAGAGCAUCACACGCACACACACACACACACACACACUGAAGAGGAGUGAUGUCCUGCACGGCGGAGGUGUCAACGCGCUCAGUAUUUCCCUCCCUGGUGUCCGAUGAGAGCUGUUAGGUAACACAAAGCGAGUCUCCCCUCUCGCCCCGCGGCCCACUGUACCUUCAGCUGGAGAGCAUCUGACGUGAACAAACAUUGGGCAAACGUGUCCACGUUGCUAUGACAACCGUCAAAACGUCAGGUCCACCCGCUUAUGCACACUUGACAGCAGUUCUCUCUACUGGAAGGUCGCCUCACGCGCUUUUACAUAUUUCACGUGCUCCUAGAAUGAACUAUUGCGUGUCCUUUGUUCUCUGGGCUUUUCAAGGCGUUUGUGUCGGUAGACGCCCUCGUGUAACCGUCUAACGUUUCUAUGCCCAGCUGGUUUUCUCUGUAUUGUCUGCUCCGCUGCGGUUGAGCCCAGCCUUUGUAUCCUGCAUUGGAUACGUGAUGCCGAUCAAACUCCUUUUGCAGAGAAGGCCUUGGUACGGCGAUAGAGGUUACCGAUCAAAUGCACGACUUCACUGCGCAAAGGUCGUAGCUUUUGAUCUUAUCGUUUUUUUAGACACCAAAAGGAUGAUGAUGAGGGUGGAUGUUAUAGCAAGAGCACAAUGAUGUUCUCCACUCUAUUUACAUGUCUGUUUAAUCCCCUCAGAGCCUCCUGUGUGUGUGUGUGUGUGUGUGUGUGUGUGUGUAAUGAGAUUUGAACUUGCUCUUCCUAAAUGUGUGAAUUCCCAAUGGCCAAAUACCAGGAAGAUAAUGAGCGAGGAAUCACUUCAAGAUAGAGGAACUAUUUAUUCAAGCAUGAAUCAUUGCUGCCUCGGGAGUUUAAGUGAAGUGCGUGUGCGAUCCGUGAACACGUUUAGACCACAUGCAGCUCAUUUUUGCCCUCGCAAAUCUGCUUAUAUAAAGGUCUUUGUUUAGUCCACAUUAGACCCCAAUUUACAAUACGAAUAUCAUGGUGUAUUGAGAGAGACUUUUGAGACAAUAAACUGGUGAAGUAAAUCCAGUGAGAGGUGGGGAUCGACUUCUAAUCCAGACAACCAGAAGAGUCGCCCCCUGCUGGGCGUGAGAGAGAAAGCAGGUUUAAGAUUCCUCCACGUUGGAUACAGCUCAACAGGAAGAGGUCUGCCUCAAACCAAACAAUAUUUAUACAAGCACAUUUGACCGUGCCAUUAACAUUCAAGUCAUUGUUCCCUUUGUCUUGUAUCUUUAUGUUGUGAUGAUGUUAAGAAGUGUGAUGGAUUCAGCCAAGGACCCCUGGAGGUUGCUCUCUCGAAUCAACUUCAAUGGAGAAGCUGCAGUUAAAACUCGCAUCCGUGGUUUUCACCAAAAAAGCUUAAUGAACAACUUUUUGAAUUACAUAACCUGCUGACUCUAAGUAACUCGCUCCGUCCCUUCCUGCAAAACUGGAAGGAGACACAGGGAAACCACUGAUUGACGGUUUUGUCCCCACUGUUCCAUAUUCCCCUUUGUCAUAAAACUACCAAAGCAAAGACGUAAUUAGAGAUGUCGUUGUGGACGAGGUUGAUGGAUGAAAUGAUACAUGAAAACAAAUCUGCAGAAUCUGGGGAAAAACAGGAGACAGAAUUGCCUGGUUGAGCGAGGUUGUCUCUCUCUGCUACUUUCUUCUAUCCGCGUCUAUCUGAUCUUUCUCUCGCAAACACGUACACAAAGCGGUUUGCAAAUAAAAAGAAAAUCCUGGGUGAAUGUGUGUACGUUUUACAGACUUCUGGCCCGGGAAAAGAGUGUGAGCUGUUGGUUCUUUCCACAUGUGAAUGAGAUGGCCCUCUGCAUGAGGCCUAUCAUAUCCCUGCAGGCAGUAUGAAAACAUAUCCUUUAUAUAUUCUGGCAGGCGAAACGCUGAAGCUUCCUUGUGGUUACAAAAUGGAAGGAUGCCCUAUUUUCAUUUCUUGCCCCGAUAAGUGAGGAGAAGGUGAAAUGCUUGGUUUGGCUGACCCCGGCGGGGGAGUCGUCGAAGUCACGUACAGCGGCGGGGGGGGGG